UUGCAAGACGAUAUCCAAUUCCAAGCAUUCAUAAAUAAUUGUUGUAAACCUCCUAUUGAGUUUGUUUGUGAAGUAACUUGAUGAUUUCAUUGUAAUGUCUGAGUCAUAAAAUACGUGUGGCAGUCACCAGAAUUGUGUGGCUAUAUUGUCAAAGAAGCACACAUUUACAAUGUUAUAUCAUGCUUUUUGUUUUAUACAUCUGGAUGCACAUUUAUGUAUGGCAUAUUUUAGAAUGCAGUGACCUAUAAUGAUGUGCAUGUCAACAUCACUCAGGAAGAGUGGGCAUUGAUGGAUCCAUCACAGAAGAAUCUCUACAAAGAUGUGAUGCUGGAGACCUAUAUGAACCUCAUUGCUAUAGGCUACAAUUGGGAAGAUCUUAAAGUUGAAGAACAUUGUCAAAGUUCUCAAAAACAUGGAAGGCAUAAAAGAAAUCAUACUACAGAGAAAGCACGUGAAUAUACUGAGUGUGGU